GCAGCAACCUCAUUUUGGGGGCCAUUGUCCCAAAGAGAGUAGGAGAACCGAUCAAGGAGAUAGAGAAGGAUGAAGGAUGGAUGGAAAUGAAGAAAAGAAGAGGAUUUUGGGGUGAUUGUCAUGGAUUUUCCAAACUAGGAUUUGAGAUUUUGAUGGAGAGCAAGGGCAUAUGUCGAGAGAGAGUGUUUGCUCUAGAAUUUGAGAUAGAAAUCC
rnacentral:lncRNA from 1 species